GUGCGUGUAGUUUAAUUUAAAGUAACAUAAUUUUUGUAAGAUUGGGGCGGUAAAACCCAUGCACU
rnacentral:tRNA from 1 species